AUGUAUUUUAUUACUGUUUGAAUGUAUUUUAAACGUAUUUUAUUUUAUUUUGAUAGUUAAUCGAUGAAGUGGAUCAGAGUUUUCUGGAAAAUCCUAUGGAUCUACCCUUGUAUUAUCAAGUGGGUUCCGGAUUUGAGACUUCUCCGUCAUCAGCUCGUGGGUCUGUUUUUAUGGCUGGUUCCGAUGAACGUUCGAUCGAUGAGGCGAUUGUUCUCACUGAAAAGUCUCGUCGACGGAACCAUAAAUAUCAGGCCGAGGAAACUACCUUCCAAGCUGGUAUAGAUAUGGAACGGCUACCUCAAGGCGUGCAAAACAUCCCGAUGGUCUGAAUUCCGGACACCGUCAGAGAAUUGUUUGAACAACUUAUUCGCCGUACAGCAGCUGAUUUAAAUCCAUCGGACCUCAUCCGAUUUUACAUUCAAGCUGAAGGGUUGGACAAACCGAUCAGCACUUCUCUGAUGGCAGUUUCGACAUUAACGGUCGAAAAGAUUCUGGCUGCAGUCAUGAAAGUACUGCAGUCCAAAGACAAAAUCGAGCUGGAUACAGGGUUCGCAGUGGACGUGAUCACUAUCAGAAGACCUGUGGGUGCCGGACGAAAUAGGAAAGUGAUUAAUAUCUCAGUGGAUAGGCUCAGUAAAAAGUCUAUUUUGUCCAUUCCCUAUGACGAUGAAGGACUGUGCUGUGCCAAAGCAUUGUGUAUGCUUUGGCACAUCUGAAUGAGGACAAAGCUGCUAUUAAAGCCAUGAAAGAUCAUCGUCGACCAGCCCUCGUGAAGCGAGCAAGAGAGCUCCAUAUGGUUGCGAAUGUUCCUUUAGGCCCCUGCACGUUUGCGGAUAUAGCCAUAUUUGAAGAUCACCUGCACGUCCAAAUUGCCGUCUUUUCUUCGGAAAACUUGAACAGAGUGGUCUACAAAGGAAGGGAGAGGGCCCAACGGAUCAAUUUAUGGCUUCACGAUGGGCACUACGAUGUCAUUAAAUCUUUGAAAGGAUUAUUUGGCAGCGACCAUUACUGCACUGUCUGUGAAAAGGCCUACCAGCGUAUAGAAGAACAUCGAUGCGCCAAUGCCUGUCCCAUAUGUUUAAGAACCGACUGCUUUCCAGGGCAGCCCCAGCGAUGCCAGGAUUGUGACCGUCUCUGCCGAUCGGAUGCCUGUUAUGCAGCACACAAAGCUCUCACUGGAAACCAGGAGUUUUCACUUUGCGAUCGGGUAAGUAUUUUGCUAUGUAAAUGAAUGUAAUUAUUGAUCGUGUAAAUUUUUAAGAAAUCGUUUAAAUACCUCUUUAAUUGUCGUUACA